rnacentral:rRNA from 1 species
GAUGAACGCUGGCGGCGUGCCUAAUACAUGCAAGUCGAGCGAACAGACGAGGAGCUUGCUCCUCUGACGUUAGCGGCGGACGGGUGAGUAACACGUGGAUAACCUACCUAUAAGACUGGGAUAACUUCGGGAAACCGGAGCUAAUACCGGAUAAUAUAUUGAACCGCAUGGUUCAAUAGUGAAAGACGGUUUUGCUGUCACUUAUAGAUGGAUCCGCGCCGCAUUAGCUAGUUGGUAAGGUAACGGCUUACCAAGGCGACGAUGCGUAGCCGACCUGAGAGGGUGAUCGGCCACACUGGAACUGAGACACGGUCCAGACUCCUACGGGAGGCAGCAGUAGGGAAUCUUCCGCAAUGGGCGAAAGCCUGACGGAGCAACGCCGCGUGAGUGAUGAAGGUCUUCGGAUCGUAAAACUCUGUUAUUAGGGAAGAACAAAUGUGUAAGUAACGAUGCACGUCUUGACGGUACCUAAUCAGAAAACCACGGCUAACUACGU